CCCCGCCUUUUCUCCCCGCCCCCCGCACUCCCCACCUUUCCUCCCCUUUGGCUGAGGCUUUUUCCCCCCGUCGCUGGCUCUGCCCGAAGUUUCUAGAGUUUUCUGACCUUCAAGGCGAGAACUGCUGUGUCAUUCUUAGGGACACUCCCCAACAAACUGCGCCACCCGAGUCUCUCCCUCCUCUCGCCAGCCGGCCCUAAAACAUCAAGACGGAAAAAACAUCCGGGAGAGCCGGGCCGUUUCUCAGGCAGACCAGGCCAUUAGGUGCCUCGGAGAAAGGACCCAAGGCUGCUCCGUCCUUCACAGACACAGUCCAAUCAGAGUUUCCCAGGCACAUCGAUGCACCGCCUCCUUCGAGAAACAAGGAGUUGUAAGACGUUCAUCGCCAUGUUAUCCUUGA
rnacentral:lncRNA from 1 species